rnacentral:misc_RNA from 1 species
CAACCCUCAAGCUCUGCUUGGUAUUAGGCCGCGCUGGUAAUGCGGCGGGCCUCAAAAUCAGUGGCGGCGCCAUCUGGCUUCAAGCGUAGUAGUUACCUCUCGCUUCCGGAGAUCCAGGUGGUUGCUUGCCAGCGAACCCCAUACUUCCAA